rnacentral:rRNA from 1 species
GAUGAACGCUGGCGGCGUGCCUAAUACAUGCAAGUCGAGCGAACAGACGAGGAGCUUGCUCCUCUGACGUUAGCGGCGGACGGGUGAGUAACACGUGGAUAACCUACCUAUAAGACUGGGAUAACUUCGGGAAACCGGAGCUAAUACCGGAUAACAUGUUGAACCGCAUGGUUCAACAGUGAAAGACGGUCUUGCUGUCACUUAUAGAUGGAUCCGCGCCGCAUUAGCUAGUUGGUAAGGUAACGGCUUACCAAGGCAACGAUGCGUAGCCGACCUGAGAGGGUGAUCGGCCACACUGGAACUGAGACACGGUCCAGACUCCUGCGGGAGGCAGCAGUAGGGAAUCUUCCGCAAUGGGCGAAAGCCUGACGGAGCAACGCCGCGUGAGUGAAGAAGGUCUUCGGAUCGUAAAACUCUGUUAUUAGGGAAGAACAAAUGUGUAAGUAACUAUGCACGUCUUGACGGUACCUAAUCAGAAAGCCACGGCUAACUACGUG